rnacentral:rRNA from 1 species
CUACGGGGGGCUGCAGUGGGGAAUAUUGCACAAUGGGCGCAAGCCUGAUGCAGCCAUGCCGCGUGUGUGAAGAAGGCCUUCGGGUUGUAAAGCACUUUCAGCGGGGAGGAAGGCGGUGAGGUUAAUAACCUCAUCGAUUGACGUUACCCGCAGAAGAAGCACCGGCUAACUCCGUGCCAGCAGCCGCGGUAAUACGGAGGGUGCAAGCGUUAAUCGGAAUUACUGGGCGUAAAGCGCACGCAGGCGGUCUGUCGAGUCGGAUGUGAAAUCCCCGGGCUCAACCUGGGAACUGCAUUCGAAACUGGCGGGCUAGAGUCUUGUAGAGGGGGGUAGAAUUCCAGGUGUAGCGGUGAAAUGCGUAGAGAUCUGGAGGAAUACCGGUGGCGAAGGCGGCCCCCUGGACAAAGACUGACGCUCAGGUGCGAAAGCGUGGGGAGCAAACAGGAUUAAAUACCCCGGUAGUC